rnacentral:rRNA from 1 species
UACGUAGGGACCAAGCGUUGUUCGGAUUUACUGGGCGUAAAGGGCGCGUAGGCGGCAAUUCAAGUCAGCUGUGAAAUCUCCGGGCUUAACUCGGAACGGUCAGCUGAUACUGUUUUGCUAGAGUGCAGAAGGGGCAAUCGGAAUUCUCGGUGUAGCGGUGAAAUGCGUAGAUAUCGAGAGGAACACCUGCGGCGAAGGCGGGUUGCUGGGCUGACACUGACGCUGAGGCGCGAAAGCUAGGGGAGCGAACGGG